rnacentral:rRNA from 1 species
CCUACGGGAGGCUGCAGUGAGGAAUAUUGGUCAAUGGGCGCUAGCCUGAACCAGCCAAGUAGCGUGAAGGAUGACUGCCCUAUGGGUUGUAAACUUCUUUUAUAUGGGAAUAAAGUGCAGUAUGUAUACUGCUUUGCAUGUACCUUAUGAAUAAGGAUCGGCUAACUCCGUGCCAGCAGCCGCGGUAAUACGGAGGAUCCGAGCGUUAUCCGGAUUUAUUGGGUUUAAAGGGUGCGUAGGCGGGUUGUUAAGUCAGUUGUGAAAGUUUGCGGCUCAACCGUAAAAUUGCAGUUGAUACUGGCAGCCUUGAGUACAGUAGAGGUAGGCGGAAUUCGUGGUGUAGCGGUGAAAUGCUUAGAUAUCACGAAGAACUCCGAUUGCGAAGGCAGCCUGCUGGACUGUAACUGACGCUGAUGCUCGAAAGUGUGGGUAUCAAACAGGAUUAGAUACCCUAGUAGUC